rnacentral:lncRNA from 1 species
CUUGUAAUAAACUUUAUUAAAUACGAUAAAAUAUUACACAGUUCAAACAGAGAAACCCAAUGGGGAAAUCACGUCCAUUUCUGUUAAACUAAGUGGUGGAGCUUUGUUGCUGGCAUUAGGGGAACAGCUUUGUGCUUUGCUAGAGAUAUGUUCUUGAAAAUCCCUAUAGUUCUCUAUGAAUAAUUGAAGACAAUAUAUAACCAAGACGCUUGUUUGCUACCUCCAGAGUUGGAUCCUAGAGGACCAUUAAAUUAAUUUUUAAUAACAUGCUAUGGUUAAAGUUAUGGGACACAAAAUUUCGCUCUAAACGUGCUCGUCAUAAAAAAAAAUAAAAUGAAAUCCCAAGGUUACAACCUGGGUAGCAGGAGGUUUACGAUGACUAAUAAAACAGAAAGGGAAACAUCAGGAGAGCUUACUGUUACCCCCAUUUGUUUCUCACAUACCUUUCAUUACGCCACAGGUUAGGGAUCUGCCUUUACCUGAAGACUUAUUCCAAAACUUCCACAGCACCGUGACAGCAACACUGAGGUUCUCCAGGUCUCCUCCCUUACACGGUCGUGUUUUAAUUUUAUUUCCCCUCUCAGAAAUCAGGAGUUGUGCAGGGCACAUGCACAAUCCCACCCACUGCAGUUAUUUCUCAAGCAUGGCCAAUGACAAGGCUUUGUUAAUUGAUGCCAGUAUUUCACCUGGUAUUAACUGCUAUUGAGAAAGGCUGGUUUGUCUCCAAUGUUUGCUGCUAAACAAGCAUAACAAAGCAAGGUAACAAUGAAACAGCAUCAUCUUUAAAACAAGCCCUCAAACAUCCCGUGCCAUGGAUAACUCCAUAAUUCUAUAGAAUAUCUACAAAGUACCACUAGAGCACCUCCAACACUUGUCCUUAAGGCAGAGUGAGACAGAGAUGUGCUCAGCACACCAUCCCUUCCCCUCUCUUCUUAAACACUGCUCUGUUUGUGCAAAUUAAAUGUACAUGUGGAAACACACAGGUAAAAGCUUGAUUCACUCAUAACCAGAGUAUGGGAUAAAUUCAUUUUCCUCUUUAUGGUCUCACUGAUGCCUGUCAGGUUUCAGAGUUUCCAUUUGUUUUCAUGCCACAUCUUUCUCAGCUUUUUAUGUACCCGUAUCUUCAAUUUAAUGCCUCAUCCCAACACUUUGAGUAACAGGCUGUUUUACAGCCUCCCAUCCAGACGUGUACAGGACUGAUGAAUUUACAGAACAUAAAUAAUUUACUGGAGAUGGAUCAGGUCUCAUGCAAACAUGCAGGAACUACCAGCCAUAACAAAGAACAAAUUUUUCUUCUCAUGCAUUAUAAAGCUGUCACUUCCAAUACACGAACCUUUGAAUAUUAAUGUCGGCAACAGGGUACCCUGUAUGCGUUAUGUCAACGGUUAGAGGGACCGUGCAUUUUGAUAGGAUCACAUAGAAUUGUAGAAUGGCCUGGGUUGAAAAGGACCACAAUGAUCAUCGAGUUUCAACCCCCCUGCUAUGUGCAGGGUCACCUCCAGACCAGGCUGCCCAGAGCCACAUCCAGCCUGGCCUUGAAUGCCUCCAGGGAUGGGGCAUCCACAACCUCCUCGAGCAACCUGUUCCAGUGUGUCACCAUCCUCUGUGUGAAAAACUUCCUCCUAAUAUCUAACCUAAACCUCACCUGUCUCAGUUUAAGACCACUCACCUCUGUCCUAUCACUAUCCACCCUUGUAAACAGCCAUUCUCCCUCCUGUUUAUACGCUCCCUUCAAGUACUGGAUGGCCACAAUGAGGCCUCCCCAGAGCCUUCUCCAAGCUAAACAAGCCCAGUUCCCUCAACCUUUCUUCAUAGGAGAGGUGCUCCAGCCCUCUGAUCAUCUUAGUGGCCCUCCUCUGGACCCACUCCACACAGGAAUCGUCCCUCAUUUGAAGCUCAGUGAGAGGACUAACGUUAGCUGUAGUGCUCCUCAUUAAGCACUUCCCGGUAACUUCAGUUAACUGUGAGACUGAUAGAUUUGCACUUAUUGUUAAAACAUCUUUCUGAGUAUUCUGUGAUGGUGCAGUUAUAUGAACAUCCAGCAAGCGGGAAACAGGAGUCACCCAUGCCCUUCUGAUUAUAAAACAAGCGUAAUUCAAACACUCAGUCUAGAACCAUGACCCACGGACUUAAUGAACUCGAAAUACCACAUUAAAAAGCCAGCUCUGAAUGUGAGGUUCCCAGGAGCGCGACAAAGCGGCGGUAACACGACGUGUGGGCUGGACAAAGCGCUGUCAAGGAAACGCCUUGAUCUUCAACUGCGGCUGCCAGAUCACAGGGCAGUCCUGAGGGAGGACAUCAGGCUCUCAUCCGAUGGCCGCUAUUAGCAAAUGGUCCCAGAAUAUCCUGUUACAGGCAGAGGGUGCACACGGCUACCACGGGCAUUCGCUGACUGCUCAGCUAUGGCUCUGCAACAUAGAACAUCAAAUGGCAAAUGAUUAAAGGAUGAAUCGAAAAGAAAUUAAGGCCGACUGUGAUUGCAAGCUACAUCACAUUGCCUUUUGUUCUCCAGAGCUGCCAGGUGGGGAUGCUGGAGCUAAAUUAUCAAGAAGAUUAUAACCCUGCUCUUUUUAUCUAACCUCAGCGUUGAGCAUCAUUUCGUGCUGUUGCAGUCAGUACCUCUGGCACAAAUGUUGGCUGCUGUCACUGUUCCAAAAUCCUAUUUACUUCCUUUGUUGAAAUCCAUGGGAACUUUGCAGUGGGGUUGCAGCAGCUCAGCUUAUGGCAUCUUCUGGGAGGGCAGGAAGGGGGCUGUAGUCAGCACAACCCACAGCAGAGAUGGAGCCUAUUUAAAGCUGGUCUCUCGGCAAACACAUCAGGUUAAGCAAAAGUGUCCCCCAAACUAUUUAAGCUUG